GUGGGGAAUAUUGGACAAUGGGGGGAACCCUGAUCCAGCCAUGCCGCGUGUGUGAAGAAGGCCUUUUGGUUGUAAAGCACUUUAAGCGAGGAGGAGGCUCUUCUAGUUAAUACCUAGGAUGAGUGGACGUUACUCGCAGAAUAAGCACCGGCUAACUCUGUGCCAGCAGCCGCGGUAAUACAGAGGGUGCGAGCGUUAAUCGGAUUUACUGGGCGUAAAGCGUACGUAGGCGGCUUUUUAAGUCGGAUGUGAAAUCCCUGAGCUUAACUUAGGAAUUGCAUUCGAUACUGGGAAGCUAGAGUAUGGGAGAGGAUGGUAGAAUUCCAGGUGUAGCGGUGAAAUGCGUAGAGAUCUGGAGGAAUACCGAUGGCGAAGGCAGCCAUCUGGCCUAAUACUGACGCUGAGGUACGAAAGCAUGGGGAGCAAACAGGAUUAGAUACCCGUGUAGUCC
rnacentral:rRNA from 1 species